rnacentral:rRNA from 1 species
UACGAAGGGGGCUAGCGUUGCUCGGAAUCACUGGGCGUAAAGGGUGCGUAGGCGGUCUUUUAAGUCAGUGCUGAAAUACUCCAGCUUAACUGGAGGGGUGGCAUUGAUACUGGAAGACUUGAGUGCAGUCGAAGUAGGCGGAAUUGACGGUGUAGCGGUGAAAUGCUUAGAUAUCGUCAAGAACACCGGAUAGUGAAGACAGCUUACUAGGCUGCAACUGACGCUGAGGCACGAAAGUGUGGGGAUCAAACAGG